UACGUAGGGGGCUAGCGUUAUCCGGAAUCAUUGGGCGUAAAGAGCGCGUAGGCGGCCAGAUAAGUCCGGUGUGAAAGUCAAAGGCUCAACCUUUGAAUGCCGCUGGAAACUGUCUGGCUAGAGUCCGGGAGGGGCGAGUGGAAUUCCUGGUGUAGCGGUGAAAUGCGCAGAUAUCAGGAGGAACACCAAUGGCGAAGGCAGCUCGCUGGAACGGUACUGACGCUGAGGCGCGAAAGCGUGGGGAGCGAACAGG
rnacentral:rRNA from 1 species